rnacentral:rRNA from 1 species
GUGUCAGCAGCCGCGGUAAAACGUAGGACGCGAGCGUUAUCCGGAGUUACUGGGCGUAAAGCGCGGGCAGGCGGUCUGACAAGUCUGAUGUGAAAUCUCCGGGCUUAACCGGGAGAGGCCAUUGGAAACUGACAGGCUGGAGGGCAGUAGAGGUAGGCGGAAUUCCGGGUGGAGUGGUGAAAUGCGUAGAGAUCCGGAGGAACACCAGAGGCGAAGGCGGCCUACUGGGCUGCACCUGACGCUGAGCCGCGAAAGCCAGGGGAGCGAACGGGAUUAGAAACCCCCGUAGUCC